rnacentral:rRNA from 14 species
GCAGUGGGGAAUUUUGGACAAUGGGCGCAAGCCUGAUCCAGCCAUGCCGCGUGCAGGAUGAAGGCCUUCGGGUUGUAAACUGCUUUUGUACGGAACGAAACGGCCUUUUCUAAUAAAGAGGGCUAAUGACGGUACCGUAAGAAUAAGCACCGGCUAACUACGUGCCAGCAGCCGCGGUAAUACGUAGGGUGCAAGCGUUAAUCGGAAUUACUGGGCGUAAAGCGUGCGCAGGCGGUUAUGUAAGACAGUUGUGAAAUCCCCGGGCUCAACCUGGGAACUGCAUUUGUGACUGCAAGGCUGGAGUGCGGCAGAGGGGGAUGGAAUUCCGCGUGUAGCAGUGAAAUGCGUAGAUAUGCGGAGGAACACCGAUGGCGAAGGCAAUCCCCUGGGCCUGCACUGACGCUCAUGCACGAAAGCGUGGGGAGCAAACAGGGUUAGAUACCCUGGUAG